rnacentral:rRNA from 1 species
UACGUAGGGGGCAAGCGUUAUCCGGAUUUAUUGGGCGUAAAGGGAACGCAGGCGGUCUUUUAAGUCUGAUGUGAAAGCCUUCGGCUUAACCGGAGUAGUGCAUUGGAAACUGGGAGACUUGAGUGCAGAAGAGGAGAGUGGAACUCCAUGUGUAGCGGUGAAAUGCGUAGAUAUAUGGAAGAACACCAGUGGCGAAAGCGGCUCUCUGGUCUGUAACUGACGCUGAGGUUCGAAAGCGUGGGUAGCAGACAGG